GUGUCAGCAGCCGCGGUAAUACAGAGGGUGCAAGCGUUGUUCGGAAUUACUGGGCGUAAAGCGCGUGUAGGUGGCGACGUAAGUCGGGUGUGAAAUCCCUCGGCUCAACCGAGGAAGUGCACUCGAUACUGUGUCGCUUGAGUAUCGGAGGGGAUGGCGGAAUUCCCGGUGUAGAGGUGAAAUUCGUAGAUAUCGGGAGGAACACCUGUGGCGAAGGCGGCCAUCUGGACGAUUACCGACACUGAGACGCGAAAGCGUGGGUAGCAAACAGGAUUAGAAACCCUAGUAGUCC
rnacentral:rRNA from 1 species